GAUGAACGCUGGCGGCGUGCCUAAUACAUGCAAGUCGAGCGAGUGGCGGACGGGUGAGUAAUGUCUGGGAAACUGCCUGAUGGAGGGGGAUAACUACUGGACACGGUAGCUAAUACCGCAUACCAUCAGAUGUGCCCAGAUGGGAUUAGCUAGUGGGUGGGGUAAUGGCUCACCAAGGCGACGAUCCCUAGCUGGUCUGAGAGGGUGACCAGCCACACUGGAACUGAGAAACGGUCCAGACUCCGACGGGAGGCAGCAGUGGGGAAUAUUGCAAAAUGGGCGAAAGCCUGAUGCAGCCAUGCCGCGUGUAUGAAGAAGGCCUUCGGGUUGUAAAGUACUUUCAGCGGGGAGGCGUUACCCGCAGAAGAAGCACCGGCUAACUCCGUGCCAGCAGCCGCGGUAAUAC
rnacentral:rRNA from 1 species